AAAUAUUAAACCUAUCGGUGCCCACCACGGAAUGUUGUCAUAAGCCAAACCUGUGAUGGUUCUCCAGGUCAAAAUGGAUAACUGCUAGCUAGCCAUACCUUGUCAGAGAAGACGCUUCUUAUUGUAGCUACGUCCUGUAUGUGUUACUUGGAGAGGAUGGUCUCUGGUUAGGAAUAGGCAUUUAGGAGCUCAAGCAUCUUUCAGAGAUCAUUAAAAAAAAAAAAAAAAAGCAGCAGGACAACGCCGUAAAGUGGAUUUGCUCGGCAGAACGUCCUUGACUAUCGUUAACGCUACCCCAACUGACUGGGAUUUAGCAGUUUAACAGCACGCUGAGGAGAACAGAGGUCAUACCAGGGAGGUGUCAUUUGCAGUUUGAUGGGUAGUCCUAAUGUAUGCUAACGUUCUGGAAAGCCUCAUGUGAUCUCCAUGAGCACUUAUGACUGAUCAAAAACUGGAGGGCCCCUGAAAUUAGAGCUCCCCAAGGGGUGUGGAUAUUUGGCUCCAACUGGGCGGUCACUACAAACACUUCAACACUUCAACAGCCACACACAGGAAGCAAGAGACCGAGUCAAGACCAAGACCAAGGCAGGAUGAGAUUGAUUCAAGACCAAGACCAGACCAGUGUGAGUCCUACACUGCAUGACAUGAUAAAAUGUGGGAAAUGCUAACCAUAGCCACUCCUCAAAUUGAUCGGAAAGAUCCACAUUUCCAUAAAA